rnacentral:snoRNA from 1 species
AUGAUGAGACCGGUACUGGCCGAAGUAUGAUGAGCACUCGGUUAGCUGA